AUACAAAAUUGUGUCUAAAGUUUUAGCAGAAAGGUUCAAAACGGCUCUUCAUUCUAUUAUUUCUUCUAAGAAAAGACAAAUUUUUGAUGGGGUGCUUGUGGCAAAUGAGUUGAUUGAUUCAAGGAUUAGAAGUGGCAAACCUGGUCUCUUUUGCAAAAUUGAUUUUGAGAAGGCUUUCGAUCAUGUGAAUUGGGAUUUCUUAGAUGAAAUUCUGGAGAAAAUGGGUUUUGGAACCAAAUGGAGGAGUUGGGUGAAAUAUUGUGUGGAGUAUGUCAGGUUCUCUGUUAUUAUAAAUGGAUCUGCAGCUGGUUAUAUCAAAAGUAAUAAAGGGAUCAGGCAGGGAGAUCCCUUAUCUCCUUUUCUUUUUCUUCUUGUUGGUGAAGCUUUGUCAUAUGAUAAAACAAGCUCAGGAUAAGGGUCUUAUUUCUGGGUUUCAAGCCUUGGAUGGAGGUAAGAUGGUGAGUCAUUUAUAGUUUGCGGAUGAUACUCUCAUUUUCAUUGAUGCUUCUGUUGAGAAAGUUCAACAACUAAGAUUACUUCUUAUCUCCUUUGAAUUGAUAACUGGUUUGAAGAUUAAUUUUGCCAAGAGUCAAAUUUAUGGUGUUGGGUAUGAAGGUGACUUGCAUCAAUUCUCUAGUUUACUGGGCUGUUAUUCUGGAACAUUACCUACAACUUACUUGGGUUUUCCUUUGGGUGACAAAUACAAGGGAAUAGUAAAAUGGGAUAAGAUAAUUGACAAAUGUACUUACAGAUUGGGAGGAUGGCAGAAACCUUUGUUAUCAAGACAAGGAAAAAUUAAUUUGAUAAAUAGUGUGUUGGCCAGUCUUCCUAAAUACUAUAUGUCUCUCUUCGAAAUGCCAAUCUCAGUUUCUAAGAAGAUUGAAAAGUUAAUGAGAGACUUUUUAUGGGAUGGUAAGAAUGGAAAGAAGAAGUUGCAUCUGGUAAAAUGGAAAGUGUUACAUAGAAAGAAAAAGUUCGGAGGUAUGGGAGUUAAGAAUCUAACAAAGAUGAAUACGGCUUUACUGUCAAAGUGGCAUUGAAUAUUUGCACAUGAAUAAGAUGCUUUAUGGAGAAAAAUUGUGGUAGAGAAGUAUGGGUUUGACGGAGUGAAUUGGCUGGCUAAGUCCUCUAAAAUUUCUUUUGGCAGGAAUGUUUGCAAAGGAAUUUUGAAGUGCAAGGAGUUUUUCAGAAAUCAUAUAAGAUUUAAGAUUAAUAAGGGCACUAAAGUAAGGUUAUGGUAAGACAAUUGGCUAUUACAAUCUCCUUUGUGCUCAACAUUCCUAAUCUUUUUCAACUGUCAAGAAGGAAGGAUGCUUGCGUGUCAGAUUGUUAUAAUAUUGAUUCAGGUACAGUAACUUGGAACAUUGGUGUACCUAGAAGACUUAAUUCAAAUAUAAGGACCGAAAUGAAUUGGCUACUGACAGAACUUAAUGGUGUGGUUAUAAAUUCUGAAGAAGAAGAUAUCUUAGAGUGGUCACUUUCUGGAAAGAAGAUUUAUACAGUCAAAUCAGCGUAUGAAUUUCUUGCUACUGAUCACAUGGAGAUGUCUGCUUAAAAUAUCUUUAACAUAAUCUGUCAUUUAAAAAUACCUCCCAAAGUUGAGUUGAUUUUUUUCUUUGGUCAAUAGCGCACUCAAGAUUACCUACCAGAGACAUGUUAAGAAGAAGGGGAAUGGAGGUGCCUCAAAAUUGUCUAUUCUACAGUGAACCGGAAACAACUGAUCGUGUCUUCAUCCACUUAACAAAGUUCAUGCUCAAGCGUGGAGUAUCAUUCCUGCAGUUAUUCUUUGGUGUUUAUGGAAGGAAAGAAAUUACAGAUUUUUCAAUGGUACAGAACACACGGAAGCAACAAUGAUAUGCAAAGUUCAAUACGAAAUGUUUACUUGGUGUCUGGCUUUUAAGGAUUUUCAGAGUCUUUCAUACUCUGAUGUUAUUGAGCAUUGGCCAAGAGCAUAUUUUGACGCUCCUUGAUCUAUGUAGUUUAUAGCUUUCUUCUGGUUUGGGGAGGUGUUUGUCUGUAGCUUUUUCCUUUUCUUUCUUUCUGAUAGUUUCAUUACUAUCUUUGUUUUGUAACUCUUAGGGUGGUACAAUUCUUUUGUACCCUCUACUUUUUUUGAUCAAUUUCAUCCUUUCUUUGCCGAUCAAAAAAAAAAACAUUCAGUUGAGACCAAAUUGUGUUAAGUUUUAAACAUGAUAUUAAUGCAUGCAUUGUUUUUUAUUGCUUCA